rnacentral:pre_miRNA from 9 species
UCUCGAUAGCGUAAAAGUUAACGCAAAUUUGUUUGCAGUUAAAAAGUUUGCCUACGUUUGCCGCUAGAGGCGCUUGUACAACUGCAUGCAAAAUUGAGUUAACUUUUACGCUAUCGA